GUAGUCGUCCGGCGGUAGGACGGCGCCACAGCCGCGUCCGGCUCCGUUUCGGCGCGACCCCGCGCGACGACGAAGAACCGGUUCACCGCAAGAUAAGGGUUAAAUUUCGAUUGUCGCAUUUGUUUUAUUUUUUUUUCAUUUCGUUUCACGACCGAUCCAGGAGACGUGCAAAACGAGGGUGUUAAAAAGCCGCCACAACUCGACCCGAUAAAUCACCGCCAGAUGGCACUACCGACUGUGUAUGGUUUUUGACCAGUUAAAUGUAUGAACAUGAAAUUGGAUAAGAUAUUACCAAGUAGAGAUAAGGAAUAUGAACUUGAAAUUUAGCAAAAUAGCACUUUCAUUAUCUAUUAUAGUGAGUAAUCGGAAUGGAGUACGAAACAGUUUUCGGAUCAUUAAACAACAGCACGCAAAAUCUAAUGGUUUUUGUGGUGAACGACAAAGAUGACACAAGAAUAACCUGUCGCCGUAACCUAUAUAUUUUGUCGUAAUACGGCAAUGAUUUCACCAUACUAAAAAAACUUUUCUACCAACUUUUCACGUUCCGAGCGAUAAAAGUCAAAAUUAAAAAUACAUCUCUUAUUUCCUCUCGUCUAUUUACACAGAAUAAUGAUACGAUGACCAACGGAACCAUUUCAAUUCGAUCAAUACAAUAUAUAUAUUAAAAAUACUAUAGAAACAAACGCAUGUAAUAACUGUUUCCUCUUUUUUUUUUUU